AGUGCUGAGAGGUGGCAGUGUCAUAGCUAAUGAGGUUAAUCCGAGGCGUGAUUAUUGCUAGUUGAAAAUCCUCUUGCACUGGGUCCUAUUCCCCCUGGGAGGGGGGAAACUCGUCAGAGCCCUCAUGGUUGGCUUGUGAGGG
rnacentral:snRNA from 1 species